rnacentral:rRNA from 1 species
GGUGAGUAACACGUGGGUAACCUGCCUGUAAGACUGGGAUAACUCCGGGAAACCGGGGCUAAUACCGGAUGGUUGUUUGAACCGCAUGGUUCAGACAUAAAAGGUGGCUUCGGCUACCACUUACAGAUGGACCCGCGGCGCAUUAGCUAGUUGGUGAGGUAACGGCUCACCAAGGCGACGAUGCGUAGCCGACCUGAGAGGGUGAUCGGCCACACUGGGACUGAGACACGGCCCAGACUCCUACGGGAGGCAGCAGUAGGGAAUCUUCCGCAAUGGACGAAAGUCUGACGGAGCAACGCCGCGUGAGUGAUGAAGGUUUUCGGAUCGUAAAGCUCUGUUGUUAGGGAAGAACAAGUGCCGUUCAAAUAGGGCGGCACCUUGACGGUACCUAACCAGAAAGCCACGGCUAACUACGUGCCAGCAGCCGCGGUAAUACGUAGGUGGCAAGCGUUGUCCGGAAUUAUUGGGCGUAAAGGGCUCGCAGGCGGUUUCUUAAGUCUGAUGUGAAAGCCCCCGGCUCAACCGGGGAGGGUCAUUGGAAACUGGGGAACUUGAGUGCAGAAGAGGAGAGUGGAAUUCCACGUGUAGCGGUGAAAUGCGUAGAGAUGUGGAGGAACACCAGUGGCGAAGGCGACUCUCUGGUCUGUAACUGACGCUGAGGAGCGAAAGCGUGGGGAGCGAACAGGAUUAGAUACCCUGGUAGUCCACGCCGUAAACGAUGAGUGCUAAGUGUUAGGGGGUUUCCGCCCCUUAGUGCUGCAGCUAACGCAUUAAGCACUCCGCCUGGGGAGUACGGUCGCAAGACUGAAACUCAAAG